rnacentral:rRNA from 1 species
UACAGAGACUGCAAGCGUUAUUCGGAUUCACUGGGCGUAAAGGGUGCGCAGGCGGUCGGGUGUGUCAGAUGUGAAAUCCCGAGGCUUAACCUCGGAACUGCGUCUGAAACUACUCGACUAGAGUACUGGAGAGGGUAACGGAAUUCACGGUGUAGCAGUGAAAUGCGUAGAUAUCUGGAGGAAUACCGGUGGCGAAGGCGGCAUCCUGGACCGGCAUUGACGCUGAGGAGCGAAAGCUAGGGGAGCAAACGGG